rnacentral:lncRNA from 1 species
UGCGCUUCUCAGGUCUUGUUCACAUAUCAGAGGAGAGGACAUUUUCUUAUGUUUUUAUCAGGUCUUGCUUCGUAGAAUGGAACAACUACUGACUCCGCAAUUCACAGAAACGACAUGGUGCUGAAAAAAAUAGGAAACUUCUUUACAGUUGAGGUUGUCUGGGGAUGAAGUAUGAUGCUCUCUUUUUGGAUUCAUAUACCCAUAAAGAUCUUGAACUACUUUAGAUUUAGUGGCCUGAAUUCUGGUACGAGCUUCACUAACGUGAUGUUGCAUCAUUGCUCUUUGGGUUGAUGACUCACCAAAGAAGAGAACAUAUAAGCUCAUGGAAUCUAGAACUCUAAUUGGGAAUGUGGUACACCGUGUGAGGAAGGGUUUCUGAAUUUUAGGUUUUGAGAAUGCCUCAAACAAAUUUGAGGUGAUUGAUAAACUUUGAAGAAAAGUUGGAGUAGUUCAGUGAAUGGAGAGCCGUUGCAUGAAUUCAUAAACAAAGCUGAGAAAAAAAUGCUUGUAUUCUUCAUGGAGUAUGCUUGUGGCGAUAACUUUGAAGAGAAAACCAAAUUAUUCAUGAACGGAUUGCCCAUUGAAAUGGUGAAUAUUUCACAAAAAUGAUUAUAGUAGGGCGUGAAUCAAUCCAUGAGACUGAAAUUGUUCAUGGAGAUUUUGCACCAUAAGAUGUGACUUUAGCGCCAAGAGAGUUGGUGACAGUGGUUGGUGGAGUCAUGAACACUAUUUCUAAGGUGUUACCCCGUGCAUUUCCCAUAAAUAAAUGAUGGACGGG